GUGGGGAAUAUUGCACAAUGGGCGGAAGCCUGAUGCAGCGACGCCGCGUGGGGGAUGACGGUCUUCGGAUUGUAAACCCCUUUCAGUAGGGACGAAGCGCAAGUGACGGUACCUGCAGAAGAAGCACCGGCCAACUACGUGCCAGCAGCCGCGGUAAUACGUAGGGUGCGAGCGUUGUCCGGAAUUACUGGGCGUAAAGAGCUCGUAGGCGGUUUGUCGCGUCGUCUGUGAAAUCCUCCAGCUUAACUGGGGGCGUGCAGGCGAUACGGGCAGACUUGAGUACUACAGGGGAGACUGGAAUUCCUGGUGUAGCGGUGAAAUGCGCAGAUAUCAGGAGGAACACCGGUGGCGAAGGCGGGUCUCUGGGUAGUAACUGACGCUGAGGAGCGAAAGCAUGGGUAGCGAACAGGAUUAGAAACCCUAGUAGUCC
rnacentral:rRNA from 1 species